AUACUUGCCUGGCAGGGCAGACCCCAUGAUCACGAAGGUGGCCUUCCCAGGGCAAGGCUCACCCAUUGCGCUGCGGGUGUGCUGACCCCUGCGGUUUCCCCAAAUGUGGGAAACUUGACUGCUUAAUUUGUGGUCGUGGGGGACUGCGUUCGCGCUUUCCCCUG
rnacentral:snRNA from 1 species